GAUGAACGCUGGCGGCGUGCCUAAUACAUGCAAGUCGAGCGAACGGACGAGAAGCUUGCUUCCCUGAUGUUAGCGGCGGACGGGUGAGUAACACGUGGAUAACCUACCUAUAAGACUGGGAUAACUUCGGGAAACCGUAGCUAAUACCGGAUAAUAUUUUGAACCGCAUGGUUCAAAAGUGAAAGACGGUCUUGCUGUCACUUAUAGAUGGAUCCGCGCUGCAUUAGCUAGUUGGUAAGGUAACGGCUUACCAAGGCAACGAUGCAUAGCCGACCUGAGAGGUGGAUCGGCCCCCCGGGAAUUGGGAAACGGCCCAGAUCCCUACGGGAGGCAGCAGUAGGGAAUCUUCCGCAAUGGGCGAAAGCCUGACGGAGCAACGCCGCGUGAGUGAUGAGGUCUUCGGAUCGUAAAACUCUGUUAUUAGGGAAGAACAUAUGUGUAAGUAACUGUGCACAUCUUGACGGUACCUAAUCAGAAAGCCACGGCUAACUACGUG
rnacentral:rRNA from 1 species